AUUUACUUCCAGAUGCUGCAGAGUUCCUAUGGGCUAUGUAAUGACUCCUUAUGCUGACUAGCUUCAUAAGUUUCAGAUGGCAAAAAGGACAUGCGAACAACUUCUAUUGUGGGAGAUCCUUCAUUCACUGUGGCAGAAUAUUGCUGAAUGUCAACCCAAAUCCUGAUUCACUUCAGAUACAAACACUGGAUCCAGUUCUAUAGCACUUUUUUCAUGUAGAAACAUCUUUAACUCAUUAACUCAGUGGUCUUGUGAUAUGUUUUCUUCAACCUUGCUGCUCUUAUUUUCAAGGAGUGACCCAAGAUUCUACCAACUUGCCAGGGAUGGAAGUGAGACUCUCUGGUCUGUAGUUCCCAGGAUCACCACUGGAGCUCUUUUUGGAGUGGCUCACCAACACAUACCUCUUGAACCAGGAUUAGAACUAGAAUUGCCUCUCCUCUUAUGGGUUCCAAGAUGAGUUGUCCUAGAAUUUAAAAGAUAAAAGGUCUGAAACAUAUGUUUUCACAUGCUCCAUGCAGGACACCAGCAGUGAAACUACUAGGCCAGCAUGACCUUGAUUGAAGAAGAGAUUUUUACCAGGCAUGCAAGAUUUCUUAUCUCAGUUGUGUCUGUAAUUAGAAUCAGAAUCAUAGAAAAUUAGGGUUGGACGGGACCUCAGGAUGUCAUCCAGGCCACCCCCGUGCUUUCAGCAGAACCAUCCCCAGCUAGAACAUCCCAGCGAGGACUUUGCUGAUUUGGACCUUAGAAACCUCUAAGGAUCUCCAACCUGGAGAUUCCACCACCUCUGUAGGUAACCUGUUCCAGUGCUUCAUGAGAGUUUUCCCUAAUAUCGUACCUAAACCUUCCUUGAUGUAACUUGAGACCAUUGCUCCUUGUUCUGUCAUUUGCCACCACUGAGAACAAUGUAACUCCAUCCUCUUUGGAAUUGCCUUUCAGGUAGUUAAAGGCUGCUCUGAAAUCCCACCUCAGUCUUCUCUUCUCUAAACUAAAUAGUCCAGUUCCCUCAGCCUCUCCUCAGAAGUCAUGUCCCCUAGCCCCUAAACAAUUUUCAUUGCCCCUUACUGGACUCUCUCCAACUUGUCCACAUCCUUUCCGUAGUCAGGGCCCAAAACACAGGACACAGUACUCCAGAUCUGCCCUCACCUGUGCUGAAUAAUUACUUCCCUCAAUCUGCUGGAAAUUCUCGUACUAAUGCAGCCCAGUCUGCUGUUAGCCUUUUUGCAACAGGGGCACACUGUUGGCUUAUAUUCAGCUUAUUAUUCAUUGUAAACCCCAGGUCCUUCUCUGUGGAACUGCUGCCCAGCCAGUCAGCCCCCAUCCUGUACCAGUGCAUGGGAUUGUUCCAUCCAGGAUUUGACAAACCUCAUGGCUGUGUUCAGAUGAGUGCAGCUAUGUGGUAUGUGGUGCCACGGACACGUCUGCAGCACAACAUACCACAUAUUCAGCUGUUCUCUGCACUGCAAAGGAGCAACCCUACCGCAGCUUAUCUAUUAUUCCCCCACUUUGGUGUUAUCCAUGAACUUGAUAAGGGUGUACUCCAUCACAUCUUCCAGAUAGGUAAGGAAAAUGAAAGGUACUGUUUUGUUCCUUCAAAUUUAACACAUUUUUGUAGGGGUAACGGGCUUUACGCACCUAGUAGGUAAAUAGUUUUAACACAAUAAAACACUUCAACUUUUGGUCUGAGUCUGGUUUACUGGAUUUUCCUCUUCAAAUAAUAGCAAAGUAACCUUUAUAUCUUAAGUCAUUAAUAUGGUCCUUCUUUGUAUCUUUUACCAUACCACAAGGUCUCCUAUCUCAGCUCUUUUCUAUAUUGUAAAUUAACCUGUAGAUAUAUGCCAUUAGGAAUUGAUUUCCUUUAAAGUGGGGAAUGAUUUCUUUUUGGGUUUUUUUGCUU